AUUGAACGCUGGCGGCAUGCCUUACACAUGCAAGUCGAACGGUAACGGGCCUUCGGGUGCCGACGAGUGGCGAACGGGUGAGUAAUGUAUCGGAACGUACCUUUCAGUGGGGGAUAACGUAGCGAAAGUUACGCUAAUACCGCAUAUUCUGUGAGCAGGAAAGCAGGGGAUCGCAAGACCUUGCGCUGAUUGAGCGGCCGAUAUCAGAUUAGCUAGUUGGUGAGGUAAAGGCUCACCAAGGCGACGAUCUGUAGCGGGUCUGAGAGGAUGAUCCGCCACACUGGAACUGAGACACGGUCCAGACUCCUACGGAGGCAGCAGUGGGGAAUUUUGGACAAUGGGGGCAACCCUGAUCCAGCCAUGCCGCGUGCGGGAAGAAGGCCUUCGGGUUGUAAACCGCUUUUGGCAGGAACGAAACGGUGCGGGCGAAUACCCUGUGCUAAUGACGGUACCUGCAGAAUAAGCACCGGCUAACUACGUGCCAGCAGCCGCGGUAAAAC
rnacentral:rRNA from 1 species